rnacentral:rRNA from 1 species
GGGUGUCAGCGGCGGACGGGUGAGUAACGCGUGGGAACGUGCCCUCUGGUUCGGAAUAACUCAGGGAAACUUGAGCUAAUACCGGAUACGCCCUUUUGGGGAAAGGCUUGCUGCCGGAGGAUCGGCCCGCGUCUGAUUAGCUAGUUGGUGAGGUAACGGCUCACCAAGGCGACGAUCAGUAGCUGGUCUGAGAGGAUGAUCAGCCACACUGGGACUGAGACACGGCCCAGACUCCUACGGGAGGCAGCAGUGGGGAAUAUUGGACAAUGGGCGCAAGCCUGAUCCAGCCAUGCCGCGUGAGUGAUGAAGGCCUUAGGGUUGUAAAGCUCUUUUAUCCGGGACGAUAAUGACGGUACCGGAGGAAUAAGCCCCGGCUAACUUCGUGCCAGCAGCCGCGGUAAUACGAAGGGGGCUAGCGUUGCUCGGAAUCACUGGGCGUAAAGGGCGCGUAGGCGGCGUUUUAAGUCGGGGGUGAAAGCCUGUGGCUCAACCACAGAAUGGCCUUCGAUACUGGGACGCUUGAGUAUGGUAGAGGUUGGUGGAACUGCGAGUGUAGAGGUGAAAUUCGUAGAUAUUCGCAAGAACACCGGUGGCGAAGGCGGCCAACUGGACCAUUACU